CAGCCGCCACGGGAACACGGAGGGGGCUAGCGUUGUUCGGAAUUACUGGGCGUAAAGCGCACGUAGGCGGCUUGGUAAGUUAGAGGUGAAAGCCUGGAGCUCAACUCCAGAAUUGCCUUUAAGACUGCCGAGCUAGCAGGUGAGAGAGGUAAGUGGAAUUCCGAGUGUAGAGGUGAAAUUCGUAGAUAUUCGGAAGAACACCAGUGGCGAAGGCGGCUUACUGGCUCAUACUGGACGCUGAGGUGCGAAAGCGUGGGGAGCAAACAGGAUUAGAUACCCCAGUAGUCCCUGUCUCUUAUAA
rnacentral:rRNA from 1 species